CCAAAUUCUCGCAGAUUUCCAUCCGUCAUCAACAUAAAUACUUCUUGCUUCACCUGCAUUCAAUCGAAAUCCUCCUCCUUCAGGAUUUCCCGGUCCUAGAAUUCCAGCCCAUGUUGUGAAUGGACACUUGUUGUAGAUUUUGAUCUCUCU
ensembl:ncRNA Y59E9AL.37 ncRNA